rnacentral:rRNA from 1 species
ACGACUCUCGGCAACGGAUAUCUCGGCUCACGCAUCGAUGAAGAACGUAGCAAAAUGCGAUACUUGGUGUGAAUUGCASAAUCCCGUGAACCAUCGAGUUUWWYGAACGCAAGUUGCGCCCGAAGCCAUUYKGGUUGAGGGCACGUCUGCCUGGGCGUCACGC